AGACAGAUAGACAGAGAUACAGGUCAGAAGGUCGUUCCAGACCCUGUCUACUCAGCAGUGAAGACAGAUAGACAGAGAUACAGGUCAGAAGGUCGUUCCAGACCCUGUCUACUCAGCGGUGAAGACAGACAGAGAUACAGACAGAGAGAGAUAAAGACAGACAGAGAUACAGGUCAAAAGGUCGUUCCAGACCCUGUCUACUCAGCGGUGAAGACAGAUAGACAUAGAUACAGGUCAGAAGGUCGUUCCAGCAUAAAAAAGAACUAGCUCACUUUUUGUUCAGAUUUACAAAUGAAGCACCGUGUAUAGUGUAGAUAAUCAUUAUUAUAAUAAUAGAUAAUAGAUCUUCAAAAACCAAACUUAGGAACGGGAAGCAUAGAAAUAUCUCACAAAGAACAGAUCUACCGCUACUUAGAUUGGCUUUACAGCAAUUUGACAGAUCAAUAACACAAUUCUAUGUGGAUUAGUUGGGUUACUCAAAAAGGUAGAUAUUGCCAUUUUAACAAAUUAAA
rnacentral:lncRNA from 1 species